CAUGCAAGUCGAGCGGACAGAUGGGAGCUUGCUCCCUGAUGUUAGCGGCGGACGGGUGAGUAACACGUGGGUAACCUGCCUGUAAGACUGGGAUAACUCCGGGAAACCGGGGCUAAUACCGGAUGCUUGUUUGAACCGCAUGGUUCAGACAUAAAAGGUGGCUUCGGCUACCACUUACAGAUGGACCCGCGGCGCAUUAGCUAGUUGGUGAGGUAACGGCUCACCAAGGCGACGAUGCGUAGCCGACCUGAGAGGGUGAUCGGCCACACUGGGACUGAGACACGGCCCAGACUCCUACGGGAGGCAGCAGUAGGGAAUCUUCCGCAAUGGACGAAAGUCUGACGGAGCAACGCCGCGUGAGUGAUGAAGGUUUUCGGAUCGUAAAGCUCUGUUGUUAGGGAAGAACAAGUGCCGUUCAAAUAGGGCGGCACCUUGACGGUACCUAACCAGAAAGCCACGGCUAACUACGUGCCAGCAGCCGCGGUAAUACGUAGGUGGCAAGCGUUGUCCGGAAUUAUUGGGCGUAAAGGGCUCGCAGGCGGUUUCUUAAGUCUGAUGUGAAAGCCCCCGGCUCAACCGGGGAGGGUCAUUGGAAACUGGGGAACUUGAGUGCAGAAGAGGAGAGUGGAAUUCCACGUGUAGCGGUGAAAUGCGUAGAGAUGUGGAGGAACACCAGUGGCGAAGGCGACUCUCUGGUCUGUAACUGACGCUGAGGAGCGAAAGCGUGGGGAGCGAACAGGAUUAGAUACCCUGGUAGUCCACGCCGUAAACGAUGAGUGCUAAGUGUUAGGGGGUUUCCGCCCCUUAGUGCUGCAGCUAACGCAUUAAGCACUCCGC
rnacentral:rRNA from 1 species